rnacentral:rRNA from 1 species
AAAGCCUCUAAGCAUCAGGUAACAUCAAAUCGUACCCCAAACCGACACAGGUGGUCAGGUAGAGAAUACCAAGGCGCUUGAGAGAACUCGGGUGAAGGAACUAGGCAAAAUGGUGCCGUAACUUCGGGAGAAGGCACGCUGAUAUGUAGGUGAAGCGACUUGCUCGUGGAGCUGAAAUCAGUCGAAGAUACCAGCUGGCUGCAACUGUUUAUUAAAAACACAGCACUGUGCAAACACGAAAGUGGACGUAUACGGUGUGACGCCUGCCCGGUGCCGGAAGGUUAAUUGAUGGGGUCAGCGCAAGCGAAGCUCUUGAUCGAAGCCCCGGUAAACGGCGGCCGUAACUAUAACGGUCCUAAGGUAGCGAAAUUCCUUGUCGGGUAAGUUCCGACCUGCACGAAUGGCGUAAUGAUGGCCAGGCUGUCUCCACCCGAGACUCAGUGAAAUUGAACUCGCUGUGAAGAUGCAGUGUACCCGCGGCAAGACGGAAAGACCCCGUGAACCUUUACUAUAGCUUGACACUGAACACUGGUCCUUGAUGUGUAGGAUAGGUGGGAGGCUUUGAAGUGUGGACGCCAGUCUGCAUGGAGCCGUCCUUGAAAUACCACCCUUUAAUGGCUGGUGUUCUAACGUUGGCCCGUAAUCCGGGUUGCGGACAGUGUCUGGUGGGUAGUUUGACUGGGGCGGUCUCCUCCUAAAGAGUAACGGAGGAGCACGAAGGUUGGCUAAUCCUGGUCGGACAUCAGGAGGUUAGUGCAAUGGCAUAAGCCAGCUUGACUGCGAGCGUGACGGCGCGAGCAGGUGCGAAAGCAGGUCAUAGUGAUCCGGUGGUUCUGAAUGGAAGGGCCAUCGCUCAACGGAUAAAAGGUACUCCGGGGAUAACAGGCUGAUACCGCCCAAGAGUUCAUAUCGACGGCGGUGUUUGGCACCUCGAUGUCGGCUCAUCACAUCCUGGGGCUGAAGUAGGUCCCAAGGGUAUGGCUGUUCGCCAUUUAAAGUGGUACGCGAGCUGGGUUUAGAACGUCGUGAGACAGUUCGGUCCCUAUCUGCCGUGGGCGCUGGAGAACUGAGGGGGGCUGCUCCUAGUACGAGAGGACCGGAGUGGACGCAUCACUGGUGUUCGGGUUGUCAUGCCAAUGGCACUGCCCGGUAGCUAAAUGCGGAAGAGAUAAGUGCUGAAAGCAUCUAAGCACGAAACUUGCCCCGAGAUGAGUUCUCCCUGAGACUUAGAGUCUCCUGAAGGAACGUUGAAGACGACGACGUUGAUAGGCCGGGUGUGUAAGCGCAGCGAUGCGUUGAGCUAACCGGUACUAAUGAACCGUGAGGCUUAACCUU